GCAGGUGAGCAGAUCAAAGUAUUCUCCCUGGGCAGAGCUGAAGUGUCACAGCAGCUGUCGUCUACUUGGCCAUCCUUCCUACAUCUGGUACAAGAACGGACAGAAAAUUCAGGAAGAAACAUCUACAUAUUCAGGCCCCUUUGAUCCUGCAGGCAGCUUUUCCUGUGCUGUACGAGGAUAUGAGAAGUCCCGCUCUCCUUCAGUGUAUGCUCCAAAGUUUCCCUCCGUGUCAGCGAGUCCCUCUGGUGAUUUAGUGGAGGGCAGUUCAGUAAAUCUGACUUGUAGCUGUGAUGCUAAGCCAGCAGCUAACUAUAUCUGGUACAAGAGGACUAAAAAUCCAGACCAUGAAGAUCUCAGUAAAGAACCACAGCUUGUCUUCAGCUCCAUCCAGACCUCUGACUCUGGAGAGUAUUACUGUGCAGUUGAGAACCAGCUGGGGAGGAAGACAACUAAAUACAUCAUUAAUGUGAAAUAUGCUCCAAAGCUUCCCUCUGUGUCAGUGAGUC